AUUUUGCCAUCCUUGCCACUUUUGAUCCUGAUUUUCGUCCCGAGUCAACUUGGACAUACUAAAUGGGUGGCGUAUUUAUAGGAGUUCACUUUCACUUUUCGACACCAGGAAAGAAAGUUUGAAUCGUGUUGCCGAUGCGCUAAGCCGAAGAGCAUAACUCCUUAGUACUAUGCGAAACAAGUUUGUAGUGUUUGAAUUCUUUAGUGAGAUGUAUGAAGGGGAUUCUUCUUUCGAGAAGGUGGCUCAAGAAGUACGAGAAGGUCGAGGGUCUUACUCUAUCUUACAUAAUGGGUAUUUGUUUCGAG
rnacentral:lncRNA from 1 species